rnacentral:lncRNA from 1 species
UGUUAUUUGGUUAAGCGGCGUACGUUUAUGGUAUAGGUGCUAAGGUACGGUGAGAGCGCUAUUCCGCAACGUCCAAGCUCGUCGUUCUCAUUAUUUGCUUACUCAAACACUCAACUGCUCUUUGCCCCAAAAACCUAUCUUUUUACUCUUCCCAUCUACUCUAAACUCAGCAAAUAUCAACACCCUUCUCUCUCUCUCUCCAAAAAAAAAUCCAGGAAAAAAUGGCACAUUCUUGCAUAGCCACAACUUCCUCCGUCUCAAAAUUCAAGUACCCAAUUGAAUCUUGCACUCUUCCCCAAGCGCACCCCGUUUCCCUCCCAUUUAAACAUCUUCCCUUCAGGUACUCAGAGUUUGUAUAUUUUCACUUAUAUAUGUAGCUAAUGCUGACUUAUUUCUUAAAAAGUUUUGAUUUUUUUGGCUAAUUCACCAGGAAAUUAAAGACUGUUGGGAAAGUGAAGAAUAGGGGAAAUAGCACUGUGAAAGCCGUGUAUUCUGGAGCUGAAUGGGAUUCAGCUAAGGCUUCACCUACAGGAAUUUGGUCUAUAAGGUUUGUAACCUUCGUUAAAAACCCAAUCUUUUAAGGGUCUUGUUGGAUUCCUUGUUAAAUCUGCAAAAAUUGUUCUUUUUUCUUGUUAUUUGAGAUGUCAAUUUAAAUUAUAUAUCUUGGGUUUGUGCUCAAUUUUAGUUAAACCAAUGUAGACAAUGCAUAAGAAAUAUGGGCGUGCCUGGCUGUCUCCUGUUUAAGAUGUCAUUUUGACUUAAAUAUUAGUAGUAGAAGAAAAUAAAGUGAGAGUUGAGAAGUUUGCUUCAUAUAAAAAAUAUCACGUGAAAGUUCAAAAAAUUGAAUACUGAAGUGAAUUUUGAAUUCUUGAAAAUUGGAAGGUUGUAUAGAAUGAAAUUGUUAGUGGAAUGGUGUAACAAUUUGCGAUGCCCCAAAAUUGAAAGAGUUUAUAUCAAUUGAGACAGAGGAAGUAUAACUUUUAUCUUUAUUUUCUUUUGCUUCUCUGGAGAAUCUCGCAACUUCUCUAGCAAAAUGUAUUGAAGGAUGUUCUCUUAGGUCAUUUUUGUAGGAUUUAUAUGAGAGAAAAUUUCAGUUUUGUGGACUUGUUUCAUAAAUCUUAAGAAUUCAUUGUUAAUGACUUAGUUGCUUUGUCAUCUUAUGUGCCACAGAAAUCCGUUAUGUCAUAUGAUUUUUCCUUGUUAUUGUGUUUUACAGAGAUGAUUUGCAAGUUCCAUCAUCACCUUAUUUUCCUACAUAUGCCCAAGCUCAAGGACCACCUCCGAUGGUACAAGAGAGAUUUCAGAGUGUGAUCAGCCAGCUCUUCCAAUAUGUAAGGAUUUGUGUUUUUAUGGAAAAUUUUACACUGACUGCCAAGUUUUGAAGUAUAUACUAAAAUUUUAACUCUUGUAUUCUUAUUAUCUUGUAGAGGAUCAUACGAUGUGGUGGAGCAGUUGAUGAUGAUAUGGCCAAUAUCAUAGUUGCUCAGCUUCUUUAUCUUGAUGCUGUUGAUCCCACAAAGGUAUAUUUCAAGACUGCAUUUCUUGUUCCUGGGAUACUCUUGGUUCAAAUAUUAGAUGUUUAAAUUCAAAGAGGAUUCUGCAGUAGGCAUUCCUUCAGUAGUAUACAUCUUUUUUUAUUUUUUUAUUCUUUAAUAAAGUAGGCAGAAUUUUAAAUAUGGCAUCCAGAAGAUGCAAGGUGUACAAAAGAGAGUACUUCAAAAAAAACAGCCAGCUAUGAACAAAAAGGAGCUAUGCAAGAGCUAAAGAUCUGACAAAAUUAAAAAACUUCAUAUGACAGUCAUUAGGAACUAAAUUAUGCCAGCAAGGUGUACAAAAGAGAGUACUUCAAAAAAAACAGCCAGCUAUGAACAAAAAGGAGCUACGCAAGAGCUAAAGAUCUGACAAAAUUAAAAAACUUCAUAUGACAGUCAUUAGGAACUAAAUUAUGCCAGCUAUAAAACCAUAGAAGACAUCUAGCCUUAAGCACCAUAGGAGGAGUUGAUAUCCCGUCAAACACAGUAGUAUACAUCAUCUUUUGUGUUUGGCUCUUCCAUCACAUUUUCUUGCCGAAUAUUAUCUGCUACUGCUUAAUUGCUUGAGCAAUUUAUGAGUUUAUUGUCUCUUUUUCAUGGUGGAUUUAUACUAUGUGAUAUCAAUUAACAUGAUUGUUAUUUGGUUAAGCGGCCUACGUUUAUGGUAUAGGUGCUAAGGUACGGUGAGAGCGCUAUUCCGCAACGUCCAAGCUCGUCGUUCUCAUUAUUUGCUUACUCAAACACUCAACUGCUCUUUGCCCCAAAAACCUAUCUUUUUACUCUUCCCAUCUACUCUAAACUCAGCAAAUAUCAACACCCUUCUCUCUCUCUCUCCAAAAAAAAAUCCAGGAAAAAAUGGCACAUUCUUGCAUAGCCACAACUUCCUCCGUCUCAAAAUUCAAGUACCCAAUUGAAU